rnacentral:lncRNA from 1 species
CUCGUGUGCGCGGCAUCCGGUCAUGUGACCGGCAAGCGGCCUUUGGGACUAUGGUUUUCGACGAGCGUCUAGGGGGUGGCGCUCUACAUUUAGGCAUCUCUAUGGUGGAAGCGCGGACUCGGCUUUGAAUCCAGAGGUAGGAAAAGGAGAGAGGAGCGCCUUUCGUUUUCCGCAUGGGCAUUUCCUGGUUCACAUCGAAAAGCAGUUUUUUUUAACGUCCUCAGGGAGGGAGAGAGAUGAGGAAUCAGUCGGAAAUCUGAGGUCUUGACGUGGUGUGAGGGGGCACCAGCAUAUGUCACCUGAGGGUCUUCUCCAUGCACCCUCUCAGAGGGAGCGGGGGAGAGCGGGGCUUUCUCAGUGGUGGCUCCCCUUUAUGGAAUUCCCCUGUGUGUUUGUGUGUAAAACCUGUGCAUUUUAGGUUGUUUUAUCCUAGUUUUCAGUGUUUGUUCCCCCCCCCCCCAGUGGCAUAGGGUUUCAUUUUUUAAAAAGUGACCCAGAAUGCUAAUACAGUGGUACCUCGCGUUAAGUACUUAAUUCGUUCUGGAGGUCCGUUCUUAACCUGAAACGGUUCUUAACCUGAAGCACCACUUUAGCUAAUGGGGCCUCCUGCUGCUGCCGCGCCGCCGGAGCACGAUUUCUGUUCUCAUCCUGAAGCAAAGUUCUUAACCCAAGGUACUAUUUCUGGGUUAGCGGAGUCUGUAACCUGAAGCGUCUGUAACCUGAAGCUUAUGUAACCCGAGGUCCCACUGUACACAAUAACAAUUCUGUGACAAUUCCAACACCACUUUCAGCUGGUUGAUGGCACUCGAAAGAGAGUGACUUGCAAUAGUCAUAGACUAUUUUCUGGUGCUUGGAUACCUGGCCAGUGUACACAUUCAUGGCAGGGGAGUGGCUAAUCCAUGUGCCGUCUUGACCCCUAUGGCAGCAGGGCAUAGCUGGUGGGCAUGACCCCAUGUAUUGCACAAUGCAGUUUUCUUUAAUAUUUUUUUAUUAAAGUUUUAAACAAACAAAAAAGAAAAACAACACACACAAAAAACAAUACAAAACUUAACAAUAUAAACACAAAACAAUUAAUAACAAACUCUCUUUUCCAUUUCCAAUUUUAAGUUACUUAUUUUCUGGACUUCCUCAUACCUCCCUCUUUUGUAUUCCAAUCCACAUUAUUUAUCCAGCAGUUUCUUUUCCACUUUUUUAAUCCCAAUCUUUAAUUUAAUAAAAUGUUAAAAUAUAUAACUUCAACUUUUUUAAACCUAAUCCUUGAUCUUAAUAUCCUGUAACUUUAAAGUUUUCCCUUUUAAAAUCAAAUUUCCAUUUCCUUAAACUUCUUUAAUCUUAAUCUUUAAUCUUAAUCUAUCCUUAACUUUAACCUGGAACUUUUAAACCUGCAGCUGGAAACCACUUAUUUUCAGUCCAACAUCACUCUAACAUUCCUUAAUUUUGCAGUGUUUCUGAAGAUAGUCUUUGAAUUUCUUCCAGUCUUCCUCCAUCGACUCUUCUCCCUGGUCACGGAUUCUACCAGUCAUUUCCGCCAAUUCCAUAUAGUCCAUAAGUUUCAUCUGCCAUUCCUCCAGCGUGGGAAGUUCUUGUGUCUUCCAAUACUUUGCGAUGAGAAUUCUUGCUGCUGUUGUUGCAUACGCACAAUGCAGUUUUCUGACCAAACAGGCGCAUCAUACAAAAAAUGUGUUCUGUCAAGGAAAUUACUUCUUUACAGUGAAAUAUGAAAUUAAUAUUCCCUAUAAAGGGGUCGCAGCCUCGUAGGGAGGACCGAAACCCUCGGAAGAGCACCGUUGGUUAGGCUCCGCUCCGGUCGGGAAAUGAGAAAGACCAACACCAGGAUUCAGGAAAGCAAAAUCUGAUCUUUAUUGAAAGAACGGGGGGGGGGGGAAUUGUUGCAACAGGGUCCCCCCUCACGUAACAAGGACGGAGUGAGAACCUCGAACAAAAGAGCUGCCUUGGUUUUUAUACCUUUUGGUUUCCAUACAGAUCUAUGACAAAGAACAGCGGAGAUGGCAGGAAGCGUGAAGAGAGGAUUAACAUAAGGUAAGUAGGAGGGGUGAAAUAAUAUGUGUUGAGCUUUUUAUUUAUCUUGGAUCUGGUUAAUGGCUUUUUCCUUUAUCUACAGGAAAAACCAGUUAUGCAGAUAAUGAGGCUGGAUGUUCGGGAAAUAGUUUCAAUGUUAGUGUGAAAUCCUGUUCUGCAUAGCUAUCAAUUCAGGUGUGAUAAUCUCAUGUUUGCAUACUUAUUGGAAAAUAAAACUAAGAGCUUGUAUUUGUGUGUAUUCAUGGUAUUAUUUGCAGACCCAGUAGAUGGCAGUGUGGGUAUAAAUAAGUUGUUGUUGUUGUUGUUGUUUUAUUGAUGACUCUCAGGGGUCCCUUCCAAUUCUACAGUUCUACGAUCCUAUGAUUCUGCAUGGUCAACAUUCCAGGGACAGGACCCAUCUUGAACAUAAGAACAUAGGAAGAGCUUCCUGGAUCAGGCAAUGGCCCAUCUAGUCCAGCAUCCUGUUCUUGCAGUGGCCAAGCAGAUGCCUGUGGAAAGCCAGCGAGCAGAACAUGAGCACAAGAGCCCUCUUGCCUUCCGCGGUUUCCAUCAACUUGCAUUCAGCAGCAAACUGUGUAGGCAGAGCAGAGCCAACAUGGCUAGAGCGUCCAUCGAUAGCCCUCUCCUCCAUGAAUUUGUCCCAUCCUCUUUAUAAGCCGUUCAAGUUGGUAGCCACCACUGCCUCCUGUGGAAGCAAGUUCCAUCGUUUCUCUACAUGCCGCGUUGUAGCAGGAACCCCCCGCCCCAAUCAUUCAGUUUGUACAAACUUCACACACUCACACUCACACACUACAUAUGCCACACUUCUGUUAUAAAUUUAUAGAAAAAUCAACCAUACAUCGGAUUUGCACUGUUCCAUUUUUAUUUUACUCCAUAUGACAAGGACUAUCAAAGGGGGGUGGCUUGGUUCUGGUCAGCCAUAAUCCCUUCACCAUCCCAGCACAUCCACAGGAGCCCUGCCCAGUUGCUAUGCCAACCCUGGUGGUCCUAGACAGAAGACCAUCAAGAUCACAAAGAACUUGCAUAUGGGAGUGGAUUCAGCAUGGACUGAAACAAAGGACAAUGAUCAGAUCUUCCCUCUGGGGGCAGGAAACUGCCAACUCCCCUUUGUCUCCUGGAAGUGACUCAUGGGCAGGGGGAAAGGAGGAACCAGCCAGGUGACAGGACACUCAGGUUACCACCACAACUCCUCCCUCAACCCCUCCUUUCUGUAAUGUAUGCAUGAUGUUUCUGGGGGUGGGCUUGACCUAGAGGAUGGGAAUUUCAAAAGUUUUUAUAAGGUCUUGCACACCAUCUUUCUGGGUCUUUCCUCUCUCUCGCAAGUGAGGGGAACACCCUGUUGCAACAGUUCAAUAAAGGCCAAGCCUACAGGCUGCUGUUUUGCUCCAAGUUAUCCUGGUUGGUGUCUUUGUUUUUGUCCAAGGGAGCCCUCGGAUUUUUCCGGUAACAGCGUGAAGAAGGACUGUCAUUUAUCUCUCCUAAAUCAUCCAACAUUCAGC